GGCGGACGGGUGAGUAACACGUGGAUAACCUACCUAUAAGACUGGGAUAACUUCGGGAAACCGGAGCUAAUACCGGAUAAUAUAUUGAACCGCAUGGUUCAAUAGUGAAAGACGGUUUUGCUGUCACUUAUAGAUGGAUCCGCGCCGCAUUAGCUAGUUGGUAAGGUAACGGCUUACCAAGGCAACGAUGCGUAGCCGACCUGAGAGGGUGAUCGGCCGCACUGGAACUGAGACACGGUCCAG
rnacentral:rRNA from 1 species